rnacentral:rRNA from 1 species
AUUGAACGCUGGCGGCAGGCUUAACACAUGCAAGUCGAGCGGGGGAGGUUGCUUCGGUAACUGACCUAGCGGCGGACGGGUGAGUAAUGCUUAGGAAUCUGCCUAUUAGUGGGGGACAACAUUCCGAAAGGGAUGCUAAUACCGCAUACGCCCUACGGGGGAAAGCAGGGGAUCUUCGGACCUUGCGCUAAUAGAUGAGCCUAAGGCGGAUUAGCUAGUUGGUGGGGUAAAGGCCUACCAAGGCGACGAUCUGUAGCGGGUCUGAGAGGAUGAUCCGCCACACUGGGAGUGAGACACGGCCCAGACUCCUACGGGAGGCAGCAGGGGGGAAUAUUGGACAAUGGGCGGAAGCCUGAUCCAGCCAUGCCGGGUGUGUGAAGAAGGCCUUUUGGUUGUAAAGCACUUUAAGCGAGGAGGAGGCUCUUAAGGUUAAUACCCUUGAUGAGUGGACGUUACUCGCAGAAUAAGCACCGGCUAACUCUGUGCCAGCCGCCGCGGUAAGAC